GCCAAUCAUUGUUCAACACGUUCCUCAACACAACGCAAGCACAAAUCGACACUACAGUACAUUUCCGAAGGCCAUUUAGUUUUAAAAGAUAUUUCACUAUUCGACACGAUCAAUACGAACGUCACAAACCAUCGACAACCAUGAACGUUCUACCAAGCGAUCA
rnacentral:lncRNA from 1 species